AUUUAUAUAAAUUUUUAAUGUGUCAUUAUUUAUAAUAUUAAAAAUUUGUUUGAUUGAUAUAUACAGUUUAUAUAUUAUUUAUAUAUUUAUAUAUUAAUAAUACUAUACAUAUAAAUUAAUGAACAUUUUUAUUUAUAUAUUUAUGUAUUAAUAAUACUAUACAUAUAAAUUAAUGAACAUUUUUAUAUUAUACAAAAAAUAGGCUAGUAUACUUUUUAAAAUAUGGAGAUUUUCAUACUUUUAAGUUGUUUUGGCGAGUGGUUUCAUUAGAUUUGAUAUGGAAUAUUUGAAAUAUCUUGAAAAUAAAUUUUGUAAUUAUUUGAUAUUACUUACCUAAUAAUCGAAGGGUUGAAAAUCAACAAUUUUAAUAAUUGAUAAAAGCCGUUUGCAAGUUUAACAAUAUAAAAAUAUCUAAAUCGAAUAAAAAUUCGAUCGAAAAUUCUUUAUAUUAUAAAAAAUACGAUCAAUAUUUUUGAUGUAAAAUUUUCGCUUUAUAUUAUUAUUUUUUUUAGAUUAUUAUUAUCAUCAGUUAAUUUUUUGUCAUUUCAAUUACUAGAUAAAUGAUAUAUAAAAUAUCGUAAAAUUUAUUUUCAUUAAAUAAUUUAGAUCAAAUAUGACGAAGCCGAUCGAUUGUUGAAUAUAAAGUCCCAUCAUGCAAAAUAACUUAAAAAUACGAAGUUCUCAGUGUUUCUGAAAGCGCACAAGACUGACUCUUAAAAAUGUAAGUACAUUAAU
rnacentral:lncRNA from 1 species